rnacentral:rRNA from 1 species
GACGAACGCUGGCGGCGUGCCUAAUACAUGCAAGUAGAACGCUGAAGAGAGGAGCUUGCUCUUCUUGGAUGAGUUGCGAACGGGUGAGUAACGCGUAGGUAACCUGCCUUGUAGCGGGGGAUAACUAUUGGAAACGAUAGCUAAUACCGCAUAACAAUGGAUGACACAUGUCAUUUAUUUGAAAGGGGCAAUUGCUCCACUACAAGAUGGACCUGCGUUGUAUUAGCUAGUAGGUGAGGUAACGGCUCACCUAGGCGACGAUACAUAGCCGACCUGAGAGGGUGAUCGGCCACACUGGGACUGAGACACGGCCCAGACUCCUACGGGAGGCAGCAGUAGGGAAUCUUCGGCAAUGGGGGCAACCCUGACCGAGCAACGCCGCGUGAGUGAAGAAGGUUUUCGGAUCGUAAAGCUCUGUUGUAAGUCAAGAACGAGUGUGAGAGUGGAAAGUUCACACUGUGACGGUAGCUUACCAGAAAGGGACGGCUAACUACGUGCCAGCAGCCGCGGUAAUACGUAGGUCCCGAGCGUUGUCCGGAUUUAUUGGGCGUAAAGCGAGCGCAGGCGGUUUGAUAAGUCUGAAGUUAAAGGCUGUGGCUCAACCAUAGUUCGCUUUGGAAACUGUCAAACUUGAGUGCAGAAGGGGAGAGUGGAAUUCCAUGUGUAGCGGUGAAAUGCGUAGAUAUAUGGAGGAACACCGGUGGCGAAAGCGGCUCUCUGGUCUGUAACUGACGCUGAGGCUCGAAAGCGUGGGGAGCGAACAGGAUUAGAUACCCUGGUAGUCCACGCCGUAAACGAUGAGUGCUAGGUGUUGGAUCCUUUCCGGGAUUCAGUGCCGCAGCUAACGCAUUAAGCACUCCGCCUGGGGAGUACGACCGCAAGGUUGAAACUCAAAGGAAUUGACGGGGGCCCGCACAAGCGGUGGAGCAUGUGGUUUAAUUCGAAGCAACGCGAAGAACCUUACCAGGUCUUGACAUCCCGAUGCUAUUUCUAGAGAUAGAAAGUUACUUCGGUACAUCGGUGACAGGUGGUGCAUGGUUGUCGUCAGCUCGUGUCGUGAGAUGUUGGGUUAAGUCCCGCAACGAGCGCAACCCCUAUUGUUAGUUGCCAUCAUUCAGUUGGGCACUCUAGCGAGACUGCCGGUAAUAAACCGGAGGAAGGUGGGGAUGACGUCAAAUCAUCAUGCCCCUUAUGACCUGGGCUACACACGUGCUACAAUGGUUGGUACAACGAGUUGCGAGUCGGUGACGGCAAGCUAAUCUCUUAAAGCCAAUCUCAGUUCGGAUUGUAGGCUGCAACUCGCCUACAUGAAGUCGGAAUCGCUAGUAAUCGCGGAUCAGCACGCCGCGGUGAAUACGUUCCCGGGCC